UACAGAGACUGCAAGCGUUGUUCGGAUUCAUUGGGCGUAAAGGGUCCGUAGGCGGUCGGUUAAGUCGGAUGUGAAAUCUCACAGCCUAACUGUGAACGGUCAUUCGAAACUAAUCGGCUAGAGGGCUGGAGAGGAGACUGGAAUUGUCGGUGUAGCAGUGAAAUGCGUAGAGAUCCGGAAGAACACCGGUGGCGAAGGCGGCCUGCUGGGCAGUUUAGCUGACACUGAGGCGCGAAAGCGUGGGGAGCAAACAGG
rnacentral:rRNA from 1 species